rnacentral:rRNA from 1 species
UACGUUGGUGGCGAGCGUUAUCCGGAAUCACUGGGCGUAAAGCGCUCGUAGGUUGCUUUGUAAGUCAGGUGUGAAAUCCCACGGCUCAACCGUGGAAUUGCACUUGAUACUGCAUUGCUUGAGUUCGGGAGAGGGUAGUGGAAUUCCAGGUGUAGGAGUGAAAUCCGUAGAGAUCUGGAGGAACACCGGUGGCGAAGGCGACUACCUGGACCGAUACUGACACUGAGGAGCGAAAGCGUGGGGAGCAAAC